GACGAACGCUGGCGGCGUGCCUAAUACAUGCAAGUAGAACGCUGAAGAGAGGAGCUUGCUCUUCUUGGAUGAGUUGCGAACGGGUGAGUAACGCGUAGGUAACCUGCCUUGUAGCGGGGGAUAACUAUUGGAAACGAUAGCUAAUACCGCAUAACAAUGGAUGACACAUGUCAUUUAUUUGAAAGGGGCAAUUGCUCCACUACAAGAUGGACCUGCGUUGUAUUAGCUAGUAGGUGAGGUAAUGGCUCACCUAGGCGACGAUACAUAGCCGACCUGAGAGGGUGAUCGGCCACACUGGGACUGAGACACGGCCCAGACUCCUACGGGAGGCAGCAGUAGGGAAUCUUCGGCAAUGGGGGCAACCCUGACCGAGCAACGCCGCGUGAGUGAAGAAGGUUUUCGGAUCGUAAAGCUCUGUUGUAAGUCAAGAACGAGUGUGAGAGUGGAAAGUUCACACUGUGACGGUAGCUUACCAGAAAGGGACGGCUAACUACGUG
rnacentral:rRNA from 1 species